AUAGGACAUCUAUUUUCUGAAAAAAACCAUUCGAUCCGGAUCCUUUAUGCAUCCGUGAAGGUUUUUAUGGUUCAUGCACUGCAGGGUUAAAUAUCAGAAAUCUAAAAGGUGUGUCUCAUAUCUGACAUCUAGAUGAACACUGUACAGUGGGUUAUAUGACUGCAAGUCAUUCCCUUCAAAUGCUAUUGAAGUUAGAAUCGUGUUUAACAAAGUCGUAUGGAACUUUAGAGACGGUCCCUUAAUUUCCGCAUUUCCGCGAUUAUCGAAGCUCCAACUUCACACUGACUUUAUUCCAGUUAGUUACAGUGUUAGUGUUAGAGUGGUAGUAAGAGUGGUAGUGUUAGAGUGGUAGUUAGAGUGUUAGUGUUACAGUGUUAGUGUUAGAGUGGUAGUUACAGUGUUAGUGUUAGAGUGGUAGUUACAGUGUUAGUAUUAGAGUGGUAGUUAGAGUGUUAGUGUUAGAGUGGUAGUGUUAGAGUGGUAGUAAGAGUGGUAGUGUUAGAGUGGUAGUUAGAGUGGUAGUGUUAGAGUGUUAGUGUUAGAGUGGUAGUUAGAGUGUUAGUGUUAGAGUGGUAGUGUUAGAGUGUCAGUGUUAGAGUGUUAGUGUUAGAGUGGUAGUUAGAGUGUUAGUGUUAGAGUGGUAGUUAGAGUGUUAGUGUUAGAGUGGUAGUGUUAGAGUGUAGUGUUAGAGUGGUAGUUAGAGUGUUAGUGUUAGAGUGGUAGUUAGAGUGUUAGUGUUAGAGUGGUAGUUACAGUGUUAUUGUUAGAGUGUUAGUGUUAGAGUGGUAGUUAGAGUGUUAGUGUUAGAGUGGUAGUGUUAGAGUGGUAGUUAGAGUGUUAGUGUUAGGUGUUAGUGUUAGAGUGUCAGUGUUAGAGUGUCAGUGUUAGAGUGGUAGUGUUAGAGUGGUAGUUAGAGUGUUAGUGUUAGAGUGGUAGUUACAGUGUUAGUGUUAGAGUGGUAGUGUUAGAGUGGUAGUGUUAGAGUGGUAGUGUUAGAGUGUUAGUGUGGUAGUUAGAGUGGUAGUGUUAGAGUGGUAGUUAGAGUGUUAGUGUUAGAGUGUUAGUGUUAGAGUGGUAGUUAGAGUGUUAGUGUUAGGAGUGUUAGUGUUAGAGUGUUAGUGUUAGAGUGGUAGUUAGAGUGUCAGUGUUAGAGUGUUAGUGUUAGAGUGGUAGUUAGAGUGUUAGUGUUAGAGUGGUAGUGUUAGAGUGGUAGUUAGAGUGUUAGUGUUAGAGUGGUAGUUAGAGUGUUAGUGUUAGAGUGGUAGUUAGAGUGGUAGUUAGAGUGGUAGUGUUAGAGUGUUAGUGUUAGAGUGGUGAGUUACAGUGUUAGUGUUAGAGUGUUAGUGUUAGAGUGUUAGUGUUAGAGUGGUAGUUAGAGUGUUAGAGUGGUAGUUAGAGUGGUAGUUACAGUGUAAGUGUUAGAGUGUUGGUGUAGAGUGUUAGUGUUAGAGUGGUAGUUACAGUGUUAGUGUUAUAGUGGUUAGGUCAGAGUGGUAGUUAGGAGUGUUAGUGUGGUAGUUAGAGUGGUAGUGUUAGAGUGUUAGUGUUAGAGUGGUAGUUACAGUGUUAGUGUUAGUGUUAGAGUGUUAGUGUUAGAGUGGUAGUUACAGUGUUAGUGUGGUAGUUAGAGUGGUAGUGUUAGAGUGGUAGUUAGAGUGGUAGUUACAGUGUUAGUUGUAUAGUGGUAGUGUUAGAGUGUUAGUGUUAGAGUGGUAGUUAGAGUGUUAGUGUUAGAGUGGUAGUUAGAGUGGUAGUGUUAGAGUGUUAGAGUGUCAGUGUUAG
ensembl:lncRNA